UAAAAAGUGAAACUCCAUUGGUGUCACUGAAAAUAAUGGUUAAUUUUUGUUUUUUUUAGUAAUCACAGUACUGGUAUCUGUAUCUGGUGAAUUCAAUUGGGACACCAUAGCAAUAUUUGUGUCUAGAACUGAUCACAGUCACUGUUGCCGGGGUAAAAAAAAAAAAGACUCUGGGCUUGAGCCCACAACUAAUUUGGUAACCCCUUUCCAUAUCCCCUUUAUAUUAUUUAAAAAAAGUGGGACAUUAGAUAUAACUAAAAUGAUAACUUACAGUGAAAAUAGCGAUUAGCAUAGGCUCACCUUGCGUUGUAACGUGUUACUUUACUAAAUCCAAAUACUCUGCCCUUGCGUACUCUAUGGUAGGAGUCCCAGGCUUAGCAUUGUAUUAUACCCGAGUAAUUAAUGCCCUAGCCUAUUCCCUCGUCAAGUUUAAAUGCAACAUCCCAGGCCCUGGAGGAACUUCUAAUGGAUACCCAGGUUAAUAAGAAAGCGAUCCUUGAAAAUAGAGCAGUUAUUGACUAUUUGUUAAUGAAACCUGAUUUAGGGUGUGAGGCAGUAAAGGCCAUGUGUUGCUUUAAUCUUUCGGAUCAUGGGACCAUGAUCCAUGAGCAUAUACAGAAUCUGCACGAUCUAGUGAAGGAAAUAAAACAAGAUACAGGGUUCUUCAGGGGUUGGGAUUGAACCUUGGUACAUGGCUCAGUAUGCUAAUUAAGAAAAUAUUGUAUUUCUUACUUAUAGCAGUAUUUGUCAUAAUGAUGAUUCUUCUGACAUUUAAGUUCUUCUCCUGUCUUCUAUCAUCCUUGUGUAACUCAAAACCUUUAUGUUGGUCGUACCUUAACUUAUAUGCCAGCUUCCUCAACCCCUGACACCUACAGCGCUGUAUAACUGAUGAACGAACAUUCCUCCUGUGACCCCUGGCUUGCCCUGCCUGAGGGAACUGUGGUGAAGAUAUAAAAAAAGACCAACAGGUAUUACUAGCAUACCUGGACAUACCUCAGAUACCUGGGUGAGCCUUGGGAUCAAAAAGAGGGGAAUUGUGAAGGAAAGCACCUUGACCCACGGCUUAAGCUACAGAUGACCGAAUGACCAGUCUGUUUUUAUUAACUUCGCUAACUUAGAUAUAUUAACUUAUGAUAUUCUUUUACCUCUACGCUAGUUUCAGAGCCUGGCAAAAAUCUCUUUUUACUUGUGACAUUCUGUGGUUUCUGAGGUGACGAUUGCAGCUGUCACCCUCAGCCCCCCUUCUUAUGUCCUAACUAACAUAACCUUUGAAAUAUGCUUAGUUCUGUAAAUUCCUUUUAUGGUACAAAGUGCCUUCAAGCAUCCUGUUUUUGUCACGCAAGUAUAUAAUAUGUAAGCUCUCC